AAGUCGUAACAAGGUUUCCGUAGGUGAACCUGCGGAAGGAUCAUUAUUGAAUGAACUUGGUCGGGCUGAUGCUGGUCUCUCCUUGGAGGGGCAUGUGCACGCCUGGCACCAUCUUCUUUUACCACCUGUGCACCUUUUGUAGACUGUGGGGACUACCUUUCCGAGGUCAAACUCGGUUGAAAGGAUUGCUGAUGCCAGCUUUCCUUUGCCUGUCUUCUUGUCUAUGCCUUUUUUUUUUUAUCACAAAUGUAUGACAAUGAAUGUUAUGUUGGGCAUUAUUGCCUUUAAAAACCUAAUACAACUUUCAACAACGGAUCUCUUGGCUCUCGCAUCGAUGAAGAACGCAGCGAAAUGCGAUAAGUAAUGUGAAUUGCAGAAUUCAGUGAAUCAUCGAAUCUUUGAACGCACCUUGCGCUCCUUGGUAUUCCGAGGAGCAUGCCUGUUUGAGUAUCAUGAAAUUCUCAACCUUGCUUUUGCAUCUGUGAAAUCAAGGUUGGAUUGUGGGGGACUUUUUUGCAGGCUUCAAAUCGAAGUCUGCUCUCCUGAAAUAUAUUAGCAGAGUUGCAUGAACAGCUUUUUAUUGGUGUGGUAAUCAUCCAUGCCAUGGGCUGUGAAAGCGAGUUUGCCUUCCAAUUUUAACAUCCGUUAUUCAUGACUUUUUGAUCUCAAAUCAGGUAGGACUACCCGCUGAACUUAAGCAUAUCAAUAAGCGGAGGAAAAGAAACUAACAAGGAUUCCCCUAGUAACUGCGAGUGAAGCGGGAAGAGCUCAAAUUUAAAAUCUGGCAAUCCUUGUGGUUGUCCGAGUUGUAAUCUAGAGAA
rnacentral:misc_RNA from 1 species